AUCAACGCUGGCGGCGCGCUUAACACAUGCAAGUCGAACGAGAAAGUGGAGCAAUCCAUGAGUACAGUGGCGUACGGGUGAGUAACACGCGGGUAAUCUACCUUUUAGUGGGGAAUAACCCUGGGAAACCGGGGCUAAUACCGCAUAAUCUCGAGAGAGGAAAGUCGCAAGACGCUGAAAGAGGAGCCCGCGGCCCCGAUUAGCUAGUUGGCAGGGUAAGAGCCUACCAAGGCAGAGAUCGGUAGCCGGCCUGAGAGGGCACACGGCCACACUGGCACUGAAACACGGGCCAGACUCCUACGGGAGGCAGCAGUGGGGAAUCUUGCACAAUGGGGGAAACCCUGAUGCAGCGACGCCGCGUGAGCGAUGAAGCCCUUCGGGGUGUAAAGCUCUUUCGGCAGGGAAGAUGAUGACGGUACCUGCAGAAGCAGCUGCGGCUAACUACGUGCCAGCAGCCGCGGUAAUACGUAGGCAGCGAGCGUUGUUCGGAGUUACUGGGCGUAAAGGGUGUGUAGGCGGUUUGGUAAGUCUGGUGUGAAAUCUCCCGGCUCAACUGGGAGGGUGCGCCGGAAACUGCUGGACUCGAGUGCGGGAGAGGAAAGUGGAAUUCCUGGUGUAGCGGUGAAAUGCGUAGAUAUCAGGAGGAACACCGGUGGUGUAGACGGCUUUCUGGACCGUAACUGACGCUGAGACACGAAAGCGUGGGUAGCAAACAGGAUUAGAUACCCUGGUAGUCCACGCCCUAAACGAUGCAUAUUUGGUGUGGGCAGUUCAUUCUGUCCGUGCCGGAGCUAACGCGUUAAAUAUGCCGCCUGGGGAGUACAGUCGCAAGGCUGAAACUCAAAGGAAUUGACGGGGGCCCGCACAAGCGGUGGAGCAUGUGGUUCAAUUCGACGCAACGCGAGGAACCUUACCUGGGCUCGAACGGCUGCUCAACGGGGGUGGAAACACUCUUACCCCGCAAGGGGGUGCAGUCGAGGUGCUGCAUGGCUGUCGUCAGCUCGUGUCGUGAGAUGUUGGGUUAAGUCCCGCAACGAACGCAACCCCUUGUCCUGUAGUUAGCCAUGCCGAAUUGGCUGGAACUCUGCAGGAGACCGCCAGCGAUCAAGCUGGAGGAAGGUGGGGAUGACGUCAAGUCCUCAUGGCCUUUAUGUCCAGGGCUACACACGUGCUACAAUGGCCGGUACAACCGUUGCGAGCCAACCGCGAGGGGCAGCCAAUCGGAGAAAAGCCGGUCUCAGUUCGGAUUGCAGGCUGCAACUCGCCUGCAUGAAGCUGGAAUCGCUAGUAAUCGGCGGAUCAGCACGCCUGCCGUGAAUACGUUCCCGGGCCUUGUACACCCGCCCGUCACAUCACGAAAGUCGGCUGUACCAGAAAUCGGUGGGCGAACCCGCAAGGGGCGCAGCCGCUUAAGGUAUGGUCGGUGAUUGGGGUG
rnacentral:rRNA from 1 species